CACACCGCCCGUCACACCAUGGGAGUUGGCUUUACCCGAAGGCGGUGCGCUAACCAGCAAUGGAGGCAGCCGACCACGGUAGGGCCAGCGACUGGGGUG
rnacentral:rRNA from 1 species